rnacentral:lncRNA from 1 species
CCUUUUUGUUUCAAGAGUCUUGUUCUUAGUAACUUAAAUAUUUUUUUGUUCUAACUCGAUGAUAGAAUUGUGAACAUUCUCAGUUCACUUACUUUCAACACCGUUGUAUUUUGGGAUACAGGUGCCAUUAGUACUUUUGCACAGCGGAGGGGGAUAUGUUUAAAGGAAAAUAUGUGCAACAAAGCCUUGAUUCUUUUCAAUACCGUUGCUACAUCAACAAUCAGAUUUUCUUUCUUUUGUUGUUACUCUGUUUAUUAUAAUAGUAGUACUUCUCAUUUCUUUUUGUAUUUUUCCAAGCAAAAUUUUCAUAUCAUAAUAAAUAAUAAAAUAACCUCCCUCUCCCUGGCGAUUUUUGCUUCUAAUAUUAAUUAAUAAUUUCCAUCUAUCUUAAAUAAAUCAACUAUUAACAUAUGAAUUUCACCAGUUAAUAUAAAACUCAGAAGAUGAAAUUAAUUUGGCAGGUUUAUUGGAAUCUAAAAACGCUCCAGGGACAAUUUCGUCAUUUGUCGCGACGGUAGAAAGACCAAAUCAGAAUUAAUCAAUCCUAGUAUCUACGAAACAAUUUGAUUGCACAGGAAGUUAUAAUAGACAGACUCACCCUCUCUCUUGGUAUUUAAGUUUGUAAAUAAUUUAUAUAGGUUCUAAACAAGUGAAUGAUCCAAUUACGGAACUAAUAAUUGGGUUCUCCAGAGAUAUACAAAAUUCAGCAAAGAAUUUGUACAUGGACAAAAAACAUAUAAAUUACACGUAGAGAGAGCGAAAGAGAGAUGGAAUACAUACCAUUUAAGAAUACUGGAUUGAUGGCAGAGAAAGGUUCUGAACAGCCUUCUACAAAGAGAAGAUCAUCUUAUAUGAAUUGAAUUAUAUGAGAGGCAGCAGAAGGACCUUUAAAGGGCAAACCAUUUCAUCAUGAUAAUAAAGUAUACAUCUUUUUUUUCCUUUUUUGCUCCUACUCCGAUAGAGAAAAUUGAGAAUUCUCGUGUGUGUUCUUCCUUCUUCUUUACGUUUUUCCCUCUUUUUCCUUUGAUAUUCUCUCUGGGAGAAAGAGAAAGUUGAGAAUUCUAGUGGUGUUUUCUUCUUUCUAACGAGUUUUCCUUAAUUAUUUGCAGUGAGCUAACUUUAGUAUUUAUAAACAUUGGAAGAAGUACUCUUUGCGGAAGGAGUCCAAAUGAGUUGUAGGAACCUGGGAGCCAACAAGGGCACAUCCUGCGAUUUACCUCCCUGAGCUGCUGAGGGGCCGGAGGUUCAGGGACAAGGAUCUAGUCGGACGCAAGCCCGGACACCUUGUUAAAAAAAAAAAAAAAAAAAAAAAAAAAAAAAAAUUGGAAAAAAAAAAACAAUUAAAAAAAACAAAACAAAAACAUUGGAAGAAGUAAAACAUUUCGCGCACAUGCAUAUGUAAUAUGUUGUUUAAUUUAUUGCCAACUUUCAAC